GGCAUUUUAUUGAAAUGAGCUAAAUUCUGGUGUCACGCUAUUCCACUGAGGCCAGAAAUUUGCUCUAAAAACAUUAUUGUAUACUAUAAAUGAAAUAACUUGACUAAUGAAUAUCUUUGUUUUACAGAAAAUAAUUCAAAGAGCAACACACAAAAGGUACUAUGGAAACCCACGUGAAGGUCCGUUAGUCUACGUCAUUAUGUUUUAAAAGGUACGAUAAAUCUAUACCACGGGUUGCGAUAACGGCUUAAUAAUCUGAUUAGGUAAUCAUGUGGAGAUUUAGUAAGAGUUAAUACAACUACCGCUUCAAAAUACAACUAUAAAAGGUACUAUCCGAGUUGGGGCGAUAUUCGAUGUGAUUAUUUUGUAGAACUAUUUAAUAUCUUAAUAAAUAAGCAUAUUACA